AGAGUUUGAUCCUGGCUCAGAAUGAACGUUGGCGGCGUGGAUUAGGCAUGCAAGUCGAGCGAGAACCCGCAAGGGGGACAGCGGCAAACGGGGGUAGUAACGGGUAGGUGACGUACCCUCGGGGUUCGGGGGAUAGCCACGGGGAAACUGUGGGGUAAUACCCGAUAACCUCUUGGAAACGUGAUAUGUUUCGAAAGACACAAGGUGUGAUGUACUUCCACCUGGGGGGACGGGCCUGUCUCUCGCUAUUUAGACUAUAUUUGGGUGGUAGAGGUUACCCGGCCUCCCCCCAGGGCCAAACAAAUGCCUUAGGGGGGUUGUUGAAGAGCCUUGAACCCCCCACCCACUGGGAACUGAGAUACUGCCCAGACACCUACGGGUGGCUGCAGUCGAGAAUCUUCGGCAAUGGGCGCAAGCCUGACCGAGCGACGCCGCGUGU
rnacentral:rRNA from 1 species